rnacentral:lncRNA from 1 species
CUGGGCUUCUCAAGGACUUCAAGGUAGGUCAUUUUUCCUAAAUCUACACAUUUGAAGGUGGCUAGCAUAGAAGUAAAUUAGCCCAGGCAUUCUUACAUCUUAGGAUCUAGUGCACCUCAAAUUUGUCGAAGGACAAGCAAAUGUCCUAGGCAUUUUGGAGGUACUUGACCAUUAUGGGUCUUAAAGACUCCUUGAACAUGCCUGACAACCA